AUGGACGGCGCCAGCUGCCCCUUGUUAUCCCGGGAUCAGGGACUAGGGACCCGGCCCGAGCGCCGAUCGCCCGGCCAGCCGCACCUGUGGCCAUGUCAGGGGCGCCGAUGGCAAGGAAAGGGCGAGCACCGGCUUCAGCUCCAAAACUCGGCUUCCCGGGGCCGCGACCCCAACCCCCAGCCCCUCACGCAGGCCAGGGCCCAGAGGCCUCCUUGGGAGGAAGGGCGGGGACGGUACUCACUGAGGGGAGGCCGGCCGGAGGGAGCGGGGAGGCCGAAUCCCCCGGCCCGGGCGCUUCAAGCUGGAGCUGGCGCAGGCCCACCGCCGUCCUCCCCGGCUGGGCGGCUCGGUCCCCCCAAGCCCGCCCGCCCGCUACCCGCCGGCCGCCCUGCGGGCCUCGCGCCCUUCCCCGCGCUCACGCACGCGACCCCGGGAGCAGUGCGCCCGCGCCCCUUCUACACCCGUGAGCACCGGCGCGCGGUGCCCCGGAUCCAGCCGCUGCUGCCUCCGGCCCUUACGCGGUGCCUCCGCCGCUCGGCGGCCCUUUCCGUCGGCCGCCGCUCCCCACCCCACUGCCCGCGCCGGUCCCAGCGCCGCUCCCCGCAGCCUUCGCUCUCGCGCCCCCACCCCGACCCGCUCGGGCUGUCUCUCUUCAGCCGCCGUAACUGCAGCCCGGCCCUUCGCCCCUCCUCUUCGGCCUCCCUCCCCCUUAAUAACUCCCUCCACGCACCCGGGUCCCGGCGCCGCCUUCCCUGCCGCGCGCCCGGAUGUGAGGUGGCUGCUGCGGUGCCGGGCGGAAAAGAAGAAUCGCAGCGCGCUGCCCCGACGCCUGCUCCUGCGCCGGCCUGGCGGCGCGGAGACGGCGGCGGCGAAGAGGAGGCCGCGGCGGGGACAACGAAAAGCCAUUCCCGUGCGCGCAGGCGGUCGCCGUGGGCAGCCCGGAGGCAGCCGCCGCCACGUUCCCACGCGCGCUGCGGGGCAGAGCUGGCGGCACUUGGGACCAGAGACCGGCGGCACGCCACUCUCUCGGAGAGGCGGCGGCGAGAUGGGCCUGGACUGGCGGCUACCGCGGCCUGUGGCGCGACCACCGCUGUGUUUGCAGGGUUCGCAUUGGCAGGGAACCGUCGGGCUUCGGCAGAGGGAAUUUGA
rnacentral:lncRNA from 13 species